rfam:Magnaporthe poae ATCC 64411 unplaced genomic scaffold supercont1.11, whole genome shotgun sequence.
GCCCUUAUGGCGUAGUGGUAGCGCGUCGGUCUUGUAUCCCUGAUCCAUUCAAACCGAAGGUCCCUAGUUCGAUCCUGGGUGGGGGCA